UCAUAGGCCUGUUAUACACCUCCAUACUAAUCAGGUAUAAUAUAUAUAUAUAUAUAUACACCCAUCAUAGGCCUGUUAUACACCUCCAUACUAAUCAGGUAUAAUAUAUAUAUAUAUAUAUACACCCAUCAUAGGCCUGUUAUACACCUCCAUACUAAUCAGGUAUAAUAUAUAUAUAUAUAUAUACACCCAUCAUAGGCCUGUUAUACACCUCCAUACUAAUCAGGUAUACUAUAUAUAUAUACACCCAUCAUAGGCCUGUUAUACACCUCCAUACUCAUCAGGUACACAUACUCCUGCUUUCUUCUCAUUCUUUCUCUCCUCUCUCUAUCCUCUAUCCUCUCGCUCUCUCUCUCUUUUUCUGUCUCUCUUUUUCUCUCUCUCUCUCUCUCUCUCUC